rnacentral:lncRNA from 1 species
CUAACUAUGUGAGAUGAAUCAUUUCAGCCUUUUUAAAGCUGAAGUAUAGUUGACAUUUUACCUUAACUCAAGCUAAUACUAAGCUACUGGUAAAUUCUUUUUUUUAAUAUAAUAAAUGUGUUAAGAGUUUACAAGCUACUGUUAAAUACUCAGUGAUACGUGGGUCUUUGCAAAAAAAGUUUCAGACAGGUCUUAUGCGAUAAGCCACACUGCUCCAAUUUGUCAUAGAUAAGAAAAAUGCAAUGGUAAAUAUAUCCAAAUAUAUUCAAUUCCUGUUGGAAAUGUGCUAUAAACCAGGGGUCUCCAACCUUGCUAUAAACAGCUUUAAAGCAUUCAUUGAAGACAGGAAAAUUCAUAAAGCAUUCAUUGAAGACAGGAAAAUUCAUCAGCGUUAAAGCAUUCAUUGAAGACAGGAAAAUUCAUCCAAGAGUUGUAUGUUUGGUGACAAGUUGCUGAUAAAUCAGCAGUGCAUUUGUUUUAACAACAAACAUGCAAAGAAAUCAGAAGGAUAUAUGUUUCACAAAUGGCUCUGAUAAAAUUUGUGUUAGCCUUUGGUGUGUCUUGGAAGUCCCAACACAAGGAAUAUUUCUUGCCAGAUAAUAAUUUCAAGAUCUGUCCUAUAGCUAUCUAAGCAAGGCAAAAUAAUUGACUGCCAAAUAUAUUGUUUUUUAUCUUCAAAAAAACAUUAGUCAAGUUGCAGCCCCUUCAGUAAAACAGACAAAACUAUAUUAUGUGAACCUAGAAUGCUUACAAAAAAGGCUAGUAGUUUUUAAAAGUAAAUCAGAUGCAGAAGAGAAUGUAAACAUUAAUACUCCUCCUUAGGGUUUGAAUUUUCUAGCCAAGAAAUGAGAUAAUAGCUUACUUAAUCUGCCUUUUCCAAAGAACCAAAGAACUUCUUGUCAGUAUUUAAUAUUGGCUGAGAAGGAAUUUAUAAUUCAAAAGCUGGGAAUCUGGCUUUGGUCGGUAUCAGAAGAUCAGCAAGAAAAUAUAUUGUUCCAGCCAUUCCUGUAAAAAACAAUAACAGACAAGCAAUAAUUAUGCUUAAACAUAUGCCUGACCUUGAAUUCCCAGAACUAUUAGCAAAUAUCCAUAGUAUCUAAAGAAAUCUGCAAGGCACCUAGGUUGGAAGAAGACUGCUUUAGAAGAGCAGACAUUUAUUUUGUAAUG